rnacentral:lncRNA from 1 species
AUGCACCACAAUGUAAAACAUUCAUACAGGACACUAAACAUAUGCAAAAAAAAAAAAAAUUCGGACAAAAAAAACAGAAAUAAUUCUAUAAAUCAAAUAUGUAAUGGAAGAAGUAGAGGAUUAACUUUGAAACAGAUUGAUAUAAUGGAAAGGGAAGAUAAGGUCGAGCUAGCCAAUGCACAUGAAAUGAAUGUAGUGGACAAAACGGAUGACCUAAAUAAAACAUUAUUACUACAUUUCAAACAAGUAGAACGAUCUAUACAGAUAUAUAAGUAUAUAGUCGAUUCUUAUCAAAAUGUCUUUUCAGAUUUAUAUUUUUAUUCUUUGUUUAAUUUAAUAUAUUCCUUACAAUUAACAAAUAAAGCUCAUCAAAUUAUUAUCCUUUGUAAAAAUAUGAACCAACUAUUUUUUAAUAAUAUACAUACUUAUAUAUUAUUGUCGUAUUAUUAUUUUGUUACUAAUAUAUCUUUUAAGUCAUACACUGUUCUCAUAAAGGCUUAUUACAUAUAUAAUAAUUAUCCAGAUGUAUAUUACAUGCUUUCUUUGUUGGCACUAAAAACUAAAAAGUACAAAGAAUAUGUUACUUUCAGCGAACUAACUCUUUUUUUUUAG